GAUGAACGCUGGCGGCGUGCCUAAUACAUGCAAGUCGAACGGGAUCCUAGCAGUGCUUGCACAGCUAGGUGAGAGUGGCGCACGGGUGAGUAACACGUAGCUGACCUGCCUUUCACUGGGGGAUAACUCACCGAAAGGUGAGCUAAUACCGCGUACGCUUAGGGUUUUUAGAAAACCCUAAGGAAAGAGAUAUAGUAUCGGUGAAAGAGGGGGCUGCGGUCCAUCAGCUAGUUGGUGAGGUAAAAGCUCACCAAGGCAACGACGGAUAGGGGACCUGAGAGGGUGACCCCCCACACUGGAACUGAGACACGGUCCAG
rnacentral:rRNA from 1 species